GGCGAACGGGUGAGGAACACGUGAGAAACCUGCCUUUCAUUCUGGGAUAACACCGGGAAACCAGUGCUAAUACCGGAUACUCCGUCUUGGCGGCAUCGCCGAGCCGGGAAAAAAUUUUGAUGAAAGAUGGUCUCGCGGCCUAUCAGCUAGUUGGUGAGGUAAUGGCUCACCAAGGCGACGACGGGUAGCCGGCCUGAGAGGGCGACCGGCCACACUGGGACUGAGACACGGCCCAGACUCCUACGGGAGGCAGCAGUAGGGAAUAUUGGGCAAUGGGCGCAAGCCUGACCCAGCGACGCCGCGUGAGGGAUGAAGGUCUUCGGAUUGUAAACCUCUUUCAGUAGGGAAGAAGCGAAAGUGACGGUACCUAAAGAAGAAGCACCGGCUAACUAUGUGCCAGCAGCCGCGGUAAUACAUAGGGUGCAAGCGUUGUCCGGAAUUAUUGGGCGUAAAGAGCUCGUAGGUCGUUUGUCGCGUCGAUUGUGAAAAUCUGAGGCUCAACCUCAGACCUGCAGUCGAUACGGGCAAACUAGAGUGUGGUAGGGGAGACUGGAAUUCCUGGUGUAGCGGUGGAAUGCGCAGAUAUCAGGAGGAACACCAAUGGCGAAGGCAGGUCUCUGGGCCAUAACUGACACUGAGGAGCGAAAGUGCGGGGAGCGAACAGGAUU
rnacentral:rRNA from 1 species